AUGACUUCAUGCUCCCUCCUCACUCUUUCCACCUCUGGUCUGGGCAUGAAAUGCUUUAUGUGGGCAUACUAUUUGGUCACAGAAGGCUCUAACUGUCCUCAGAAAGGCACAUGCCCAGCCUCUGACAACAUUGCUGGGCCAGGAUGUCUGAUGAGAGACAUAAAGAUUGGGCCCAUGUUGGCGGCACCAUCACUGUCAUUUCAGAGUCCAUUUUCCUGGUUAACCAAAUGGAGUUUCACUUUUGUUGCCCAGGCUGGAGUGCAAUGACAUGAUCUCGGCUCACCACAACCUCCACCUCCCGGGUUCAGGGGAUUUUCCUGCCUCAGCCUCCCGAGUAGCUGGGAUUGCAGGCAUGUAUGACCACACUGACUAAUUUUGUAUUUUUAGUAGAGAUGGGAUUUCUCCAUGUUGGUCAGGCUGGUCUUGAACUCCCAACCUCAAGUGACCCACCCACCUCAGCCUCCCAAAGAGCUGAGAUUACAGGCAUGAGCCACUGCACCCAGUCUCUACUGUAACUUUUAGAGAAAUUAAAAUAAUAGUCCUUUCCUAUCUCUUCUCAAGCAAAAAGAUGACCUUUGAAAACAGUAAAUACGUGCAGGCUGACAUCAACCUCUGCAGUCCUGUUCUACCCUUUCCUGCAGUUUUGCAGUCAAGUAGGUUGACUUUAAUGAGUGGUUUCCCCUGAUGAGGCUGUUCUUAAAAUUCAGCUCUGUCUUUGCUCCAUGCUACCUAGACAUAGGAGCAGGAGAGAACCUCAAAGGCUCUGACUCAGCCAGAGCCUCUGGAGGCAGGUGAGGGCAGCUGGAAGGCAGGUGAGAGAUUCAGGUACACAAGCACACAAGAGGUAAGUCCUCCCUAAGGGGCUAGCCAUUUGGCGUAACAGGAAUCUAGCAGGUUUCGGAGGUUCUAUCUUUCUGUCCAUUUCUGCUGGUGAGUGUUGUACAGGUGACAGUGUUGUGAAAACGGCCUUUGGGGGAGAGUAGGAGGAAGCUGCUGACCUGUCCAUCAUUUGUUCACAUACCAUGUUUAACCAUCCUGAGGGGUCCUCCUGGGAGAGCUCAGCUGUAUUUAUCUCCCACUGAAUUGCCAGGUCCUUUCUGGUUGAUUAGGGAGAGGGCCGGUUCAGGCCUAUAUCAGAAACCAUCUGCUCUCAGGCCAGAGCCACGUGUAUGGAGUGAGAUCUCUCAGAGAGGUGGUGGGUAUGGUAUGAUAAGCUGGGAGUGACCCGCCCCCAGCACACACCCUUAUUAGAACCCAAGGGAACAGAAGCUCUUAAAGGACCAAUAUGAGGUAAGUUUGUUUCUCCAGCUUGCUUUGAUUGUUCAAAGCAUUGUCUGGUAUGAUUUAGGCUUAAAAGACAUUAAACUAAUUAUCACACAUUGUAAACAAUCAAGGACAUGACAUUGUCCCUUGCUUACUAAUAGGAUAUGUUCUUUUUAUGUUCUUUAUGAGACGGUGUAGCAAUGAUAGCUAUGCUACAUAGAUCAUUUAGAAGCCAGUACUUCCAGGUGUUGUUGAAAUAAAGCAGGACUGCUUAAGAUUCACUUAUGCUAAAAUACAGAUUCCCAGGGACCACUCCCAGAGAUUCUGAUUCUGUAGGUCUAAGGUAGGACCCAGGAAUCUGCAUUUUAGCAACUCUCCUCACCACUACCAACAUAUCCCCUAUCCACAUACACAUACCAGAUGCUUCUGAGGCGCAGUAUCAGAGGAUCCCACUUUGAGAAAAUCUGUAGAGAGAGCACCAGACCUAUGAUCUGUAGGCUUAGAUUUGGGAAUAGCUGUGUUGUCUUAAAUAAAUUCCUCCACCUCUCUGGGUCACCAUUUCUGUGUCUAUAAAAUGAGGGAACUAAUUCUUAAGGCCCUUUCCAGGACCAAUAUUUCAGGAUUUCAAGCACAUUCCUAAUGCCCUCCCUAUGGAUGUUCCAAAUCUUCUAUUGUGGAAGCCAAGCCCCAGAGUGAACUGUACCCUAAGGAGAAUGGUCACCUGC
ensembl:lncRNA